GGGGGUCUAGCUCAGAUGGUAGAGCGCUCGCUUAGCAUGCGAGAGGUACUGAGAUCGAUACUCAGGUCCUCCA
rfam:Rhizophagus irregularis DAOM 181602 strain DAOM 197198 GLOINscaffold_15612_Cont15568, whole genome shotgun sequence.